ACGCUCGACACCUACGCAGCAGUGGGGAAUAUUGCACAAUGGGGGAAACCCUGAUGCAGCGACGCCGCGUGAAGGAAGAAGUAUCUCGGUAUGUAAACUUCUAUCAGCAGGGAAGAAAAUGACGGUACCUGACUAAGAAGCCCCGGCUAACUACGUGCCAGCAGCCGCGGUAAUCUGAGCGGGCUGGCAAGGC
rnacentral:rRNA from 1 species